rnacentral:rRNA from 1 species
UACGUAGGAGACGAGCGUUGUCCGGAAUUACUGGGCGUAAAGCGCGUGUAGGCGGAUGAGCAAGUCUGCUGUGAAAGCUCCUGGCUUAACCGGGAGUGGUCGGUGGAAACUGCUCGUCUGGAGGACGGUAGAGGUAGGUAGAAUUCCCGGUGUAGUGGUGAAAUGCGUAGAGAUCGGGAGGAAUACCUGUGGCGAAGGCGGCGAUCUGGGUCGAUACUGACGCUGAGGAGCGAAAGCGUGGGGAGCAAACAGG